GUUCGCAUUGCCACACCCACCUAAUUUUUUGUAUUUUUAGUACAGACAGGGUUUCACCAUGGCCAGGCUGGUCUUGAACUUCUGACCUCAGGUGAUCUGCCCGCCUCGGCCUCUCAGAGUGCUGGGAUUACAGGCGUGAGCCACCACGCCGGGCCACUUAUUCUGUUUCAUGGGAUGAAGUGUUGCUCAAUUCUAGAAUACCAAAUAAGCCAAUUAAGAUUUUUAAACUAAAUGUGUUGUAAUUUUGUCUUUUGACAGUGCCAUUGUACAGGUGAUUCACUACUCCACCACUCCACUCACCUACUCACAAUGACGGUUUUCAACAUUUCAGGAACGGUUUCUACCUUAGGCUCAGAGCAAUUCCUACUUCUCCCUCAUGAGGAAUUGGAGGAGGUGGUGAUAAAAUUCUUCAUCUGGUUGUGAGGUGGUAUUUCACACAACUCCUUGAUAAAUAUUGGAGGUGAUACUGGAUACAGGAAAACUUACAAUAAUCAGAUUGUUACAGGUAGUUAGGCAUCAACAGGGCAGCAGAGGGCUCUCUCCCGACCCACUAGAAAUGUCAGGUGAUGGUUCAGCAAUUAACAAAUUGCCUCUCUAAGAAUGAGAAUUCGGCAGCCAGGGAGAGACAAUCUCUUGAUGGUCCACACCUGUUAACAUUAAAAGUGUUAAUUGAAUACAGCCCCCCAAGCAGCAGCUUCUUGGGCACCCGUGUUAAGAGACAAAUGGCGAAGUAUAGGCAUGGUGGCACGUGAUGGCGUGCGCCUUUAGUCCCAGCUACUCAGGAGGUUGAGAAAGAAGGAUCACUUGAGCUUGGGAGGUGGAGGAUACAGCGAGCUAAGAUCAUGGCACUGUACUCCAGGCUGGCUGACAGAGACUCCAAAAAAAAAAAAAAAAAGAAAAGAAAGGCCGGCACCGUGGCUCAUGCCUGUAAUCCCAGCACUUUGGGAGGCUG
rnacentral:lncRNA from 10 species